rnacentral:rRNA from 1 species
UACAGAGGUGGCAAGCGUUGUUCGGAAUUACUGGGCGUAAAGGGCGCGUAGGCGGCCUUCUAAGUCAGACGUGAAAUCCCCCGGCUUAACCUGGGAACUGCGUCUGAUACUGGGAGGCUAGAGUGCGGGAGAGGGGUGCGGAAUUCCAGGUGUAGCGGUGAAAUGCGUAGAUAUCUGGAGGAACACCGGUGGCGAAGGCGGCAUCCUGGACCGACACUGACGCUGAGGCGCGAAAGCUAGGGUAGCAAACGGG